GACGAACCGUGCAAACGUUGUUCGGAAUCACUGGGCUUAAAGGGCGCGUAGGCGGGUGGUCAAGUCAGGGGUGAAAUCUUUCGGCUCAACCGGAAAACAGCCUCUGAUACUGACCGUCUUGAGCGAGGUAGGGGCAUGUGGAACUUCCGGUGGAGCGGUGAAAUGCGUUGAUAUCGGAAGGAACGCCGGUGGCGAAAGCGACGUGCUGGACCUCUUCUGACGCUGAGGCGCGAAAGCUAGGGGAG
rnacentral:rRNA from 1 species